rnacentral:rRNA from 1 species
GACGAACGCUGGCGGCGUGCUUAACACAUGCAAGUCGAGCGGUAAGGCCCUUUCGGGGGUACACGAGCGGCGAACGGGUGAGUAACACGUGGGUGACCUGCCCUCAGCUCUGGGAUAAGCCUGGGAAACCGGGUCUAAUACUGGAUAUGACUCCAUGACGCAUGUUGUGGGAUGGAAAGCCUUGUGCGGCUGAGGAUGGGCCCGCGGCCUAUCAGCUUGUUGGUGGGGNGAUGGCCUACCAAGGCGACGACGGGUAGCCGGCCUGAGAGGGCGACCGGCCACACUGGGACUGAGACACGGCCCAGACUCCUACGGGAGGCAGCAGUGGGGAAUCUUGCGCAAUGGGCGAAAGCCUGACGCAGCGACGCCGCGUGAGGGAUGACGGCCU